AGUAUCAUGGCUCAGGAUGAACGCUAGCUACAGGCUUAACACAUGCAAGUCGAGGGGAAACGACAUCGAAAGCUUGCUUUUGAUGGGCGUCGACCGGCGCACGGGUGAGUAACGCGUAUCCAACCUGCCCACCACUUGGGAUAACCUUGCGAAAGUAAGACUAAUACCCAAUGACAUCCCACGAAGACAUCUGAAUGGGAUUAAAGAUUUAUCGGUGAUGGAUGGGGAUGCGUCUGAUUAG
rnacentral:rRNA from 1 species